UUAAGUUAUUAAGGGCGCACGGUGGAUGCCUUGGCACUAGAAGCCGAUGAAGGACGUUACUAACGACGAUAUGCUUUGGGGAGCUGUAAGUAAGCUUUGAUCCAGAGAUUUCCGAAUGGGGAAACCCAGCAUGAGUUAUGUCAUGUUAUCGAUAUGUGAAUACAUAGCAUAUCAGAAGGCACACCCGGAGAACUGAAACAUCUUAGUACCCGGAGGAAGAGAAAGAAAAUUCGAUUCCCUUAGUAGCGGCGAGCGAAACGGGAAGAGCCCAAACCAAAAAGCUUGCUUGUUGGGGUUGUAGGACACUCUAUACGGAGUUACAAAGGACGACAUUAGACGAAUCAUCUGGAAAGAUGAAUCAAAGAAGGUAAUAAUCCUGUAGUCGAAAAUGUUGUCUCUCUUGAGUGGAUCCUGAGUACGACGGAGCACGUGAAAUUCCGUCGGAAUCUGGGAGGACCAUCUCCUAAGGCUAAAUACUCUCUAGUGACCGAUAGUGAACCAGUACCGUGAGGGAAAGGUGAAAAGCACCCCGGAAGGGGAGUGAAAUAGAACCUGAAACCGUGUGCUUACAAGUAGUCAGAGCCCGUUAAUGGGUGAUGGCGUGCCUUUUGUAGAAUGAACCGGCGAGUUACGAUUUGAUGCAAGGUUAAGCAGUAAAUGUGGAGCCGUAGCGAAAGCGAGUCUGAAUAGGGCAUUUAGUAUUUGGUCGUAGACCCGAAACCAGGUGAUCUACCCUUGGUCAGGUUGAAGUUCAGGUAACACUGAAUGGAGGACCGAACCGACUUACGUUGAAAAGUGAGCGGAUGAACUGAGGGUAGCGGAGAAAUUCCAAUCGAACCUGGAGAUAGCUGGUUCUCUCCGAAAUAGCUUUAGGGCUAGCCUCAAGUGAUGAUUAUUGGAGGUAGAGCACUGUUUGGACGAGGGGCCCCUCUCGGGUUACCGAAUUCAGACAAACUCCGAAUGCCAAUUAAUUUAACUUGGGAGUCAGAACAUGGGUGAUAAGGUCCGUGUUCGAAAGGGAAACAGCCCAGACCACCAGCUAAGGUCCCAAAAUAUAUGUUAAGUGGAAAAGGAUGUGGCGUUGCCCAGACAACUAGGAUGUUGGCUUAGAAGCAGCCAUCAUUUAAAGAGUGCGUAAUAGCUCACUAGUCGAGUGACACUGCGCCGAAAAUGUACCGGGGCUAAACAUAUUACCGAAGCUGUGGAUUGUCCUUUGGACAAUGGUAGGAGAGCGUUCUAAGGGCGUUGAAGCAUGAUCGUAAGGACAUGUGGAGCGCUUAGAAGUGAGAAUGCCGGUGUGAGUAGCGAAAGACGGGUGAGAAUCCCGUCCACCGAUUGACUAAGGUUUCCAGAGGAAGGCUCGUCCGCUCUGGGUUAGUCGGGUCCUAAGCUGAGGCCGACAGGCGUAGGCGAUGGAUAACAGGUUGAUAUUCCUGUACCACCUAUAAUCGUUUUAAUCGAUGGGGGGACGCAGUAGGAUAGGCGAAGCGUGCGAUUGGAUUGCACGUCUAAGCAGUAAGGCUGAGUAUUAGGCAAAUCCGGUACUCGUUAAGGCUGAGCUGUGAUGGGGAGAAGACAUUGAGUCUUCGAGUCGUUGAUUUCACACUGCCGAGAAAAGCCUCUAGAUAGAAAAUAGGUGCCCGUACCGCAAACCGACACAGGUAGUCAAGAUGAGAAUUCUAAGGUGAGCGAGCGAACUCUCGUUAAGGAACUCGGCAAAAUGACCCCGUAACUUCGGGAGAAGGGGUGCUCUUUAGGGUUAACGCCCAGAAGAGCCGCAGUGAAUAGGCCCAAGCGACUGUUUAUCAAAAACACAGGUCUCUGCUAAACCGUAAGGUGAUGUAUAGGGGCUGACGCCUGCCCGGUGCUGGAAGGUUAAGAGGAGUGGUUAGCUUCUGCGAAGCUACGAAUCGAAGCCCCAGUAAACGGCGGCCGUAACUAUAACGGUCCUAAGGUAGCGAAAUUCCUUGUCGGGUAAGUUCCGACCCGCACGAAAGGCGUAACGAUUUGGGCACUGUCUCAACGAGAGACUCGGUGAAAUCAUAGUACCUGUGAAGAUGCAGGUUACCCGCGACAGGACGGAAAGACCCCGUGGAGCUUUACUGUAGCCUGAUAUUGAAAUUCGGCACAGCUUGUACAGGAUAGGUAGGAGCCUUUGAAACGUGAGCGCUAGCUUACGUGGAGGCGCUGGUGGGAUACUACCCUAGCUGUGUUGGCUUUCUAACCCGCACCACUUAUCGUGGUGGGAGACAGUGUCAGGCGGGCAGUUUGACUGGGGCGGUCGCCUCCUAAAAGGUAACGGAGGCGCUCAAAGGUUCCCUCAGAAUGGUUGGAAAUCAUUCAUAGAGUGUAAAGGCAUAAGGGAGCUUGACUGCGAGACCUACAAGUCGAGCAGGGUCGAAAGACGGACUUAGUGAUCCGGUGGUUCCGCAUGGAAGGGCCAUCGCUCAACGGAUAAAAGCUACCCCGGGGAUAACAGGCUUAUCUCCCCCAAGAGUUCACAUCGACGGGGAGGUUUGGCACCUCGAUGUCGGCUCAUCGCAUCCUGGGGCUGUAGUCGGUCCCAAGGGUUGGGCUGUUCGCCCAUUAAAGCGGUACGCGAGCUGGGUUCAGAACGUCGUGAGACAGUUCGGUCCCUAUCCGUCGUGGGCGUAGGAAAUUUGAGAGGAGCUGUCCUUAGUACGAGAGGACCGGGAUGGACAUACCUCUGGUGUACCAGUUGUCGUGCCAACGGCAUAGCUGGGUAGCUAUGUGUGGACGGGAUAAGUGCUGAAAGCAUCUAAGCAUGAAGCCCCCCUCAAGAUGAGAUUUCCCAACUUCGGUUAUAAGAUCCCUCAAAGAUGAUGAGGUUAAUAGGUUCGAGGUGGAAGCAUGGUGACAUGUGGAGCUGACGAAUACUAAUCGAUCGAAGACUUAAUCAA
rnacentral:rRNA from 1 species